GACGAACGCUGGCGGUGUGCCUCAAACAUGCAAGUCGAGGGAGGGUUGGCGUCUGGCUUGCCAGACGUUCAACUCUACCGGCGAACGGGUGAGUAACACGUGGGCAAUCUGCCCUGAAGACGGGGACAACUUCGGGAAACCGGGGCUAAUACCCGAUACCCUCCUCGGGGGGCAUCCUCUGGGGGAGGAAAGGGUCCGCAAGGUCUGCUUCAGGAUGGGCCCGCGGCCUAUCAGCUAGUUGGUAGGGUCACGGCCUACCAAGGCGAUGACGGGUAGCUGGUCUGAGAGGACGAUCAGCCACACUGGGACUGAGACACGGCCCAGACUCCUACGGGAGGCAGCAGUGGGGAAUAGUUGGGCAAUGGGGGAAACCCUGACCCAGCGACGCCGCGUGGGUGAUGAA
rnacentral:rRNA from 1 species